rnacentral:rRNA from 1 species
UACAGAGGGGGCAAGCGUUGUUCGGAAUUACUGGGCGUAAAGGGCGCGUAGGCGGCCUUCUAAGUCGAACGUGAAAUCCCUGGGCUCAACCCAGGAACUGCGUCCGAUACUGGAAGGCUUGAAUCCGGGAGAGGGAUGCGGAAUUCCAGGUGUAGCGGUGAAAUGCGUAGAUAUCUGGAGGAACACCGGUGGCGAAGGCGGCAUCCUGGACCGGUAUUGACGCUGAGGCGCGAAAGCCAGGGGAGCAAACGGGAUUAGAUACCCCGGUAGUCCUGGCCCUAAACGAUGAAUGCUUGGUGUGGCGGGUAUCGAUCCCUGCCGUGCCGAAGCUAACGCAUUAAGCAUUCCGCCUGGGGAGUACGGUCGCAAGGCUGAA